rnacentral:rRNA from 1 species
UGGGGAAUAUUGGGCAAUGGGCGAAAGCCUGACCCAGCGACGCCGCGUGAGGGAAGAAGGUCUUCGGAUUGUAAACCUUAGUUAGCAGGGAAGAAGAAAGUGACGGUACCCGCAGAGAAAGCCACGGCUAACUACGUGCCAGCAGCCGCGGUAAUACGUAGGUGGCGAGCGUUAUCCGGAAUUACUGGGUGUAAAGGGCGCGUAGGCGGGAUGGCAAGUCAGAUGUGAAAUCCAUGGGCUCAACCCAUGAACUGCAUUUGAAACUGUCGUUCUUGAGUAUCGGAGAGGCAAGCGGAAUUCCUAGUGUAGCGGUGAAAUGCGUAGAUAUUAGGAGGAACACCAGUGGCGAAGGCGGCUUGCUGGACGACAACUGACGCUGAGGCGCGAAAGCGUGGGGAGCAAACAGGAUUAGAUACCCUGGUAGU